rnacentral:rRNA from 1 species
UGGCGGCGUGCCUAAUACAUGCAAGUCGAACGCACUCUCGUUUAGAUUGAAGGAGCUUGCUCCUGAUUGAUAAACAUUUGAGUGAGUGGCGGACGGGUGAGUAACACGUGGGUAACCUGCCCUAAAGUGGGGGAUAACAUUUGGAAACAGAUGCUAAUACCGCAUGAAACCUAACACCGCAUGGUGUAGGGUUGAAAGAUGGUUUCGGCUAUCACUUUAGGAUGGACCCGCGGUGCAUUAGUUAGUUGGUGAGGUAAAGGCUCACCAAGACCGUGAUGCAUAGCCGACCUGAGAGGGUAAUCGGCCACACUGGGACUGAGACACGGCCCAGACUCCUACGGGAGGCAGCAGUAGGGAAUCUUCCACAAUGGACGAAAGUCUGAUGGAGCAACGCCGCGUGAGUGAAGAAGGUUUUCGGAUCGUAAAACUCUGUUGUUGGAGAAGAAUGUAUCUGAUAGUAACUGAUCAGGUAGUGACGGUAUCCAACCAGAAAGCCACGGCUAACUACGUG